GAUGAACGCUGGCGGCGUGCCUAACACAUGCAAGUCGAACGGACGCGAGGAGCUUGCUCCUCAAGUUAGUGGCGGACGGGUGAGUAAUGCGUGAGCAACCUGCCUCUCAGAGGGGGACAACAGUUGGAAACGACUGCUAAUACCGCAUAACAUGAUCUGGCCGCAUGACCGGAUCAUCAAAGAUUUAUCGCUGAAAGAUGGGCUCGCGUCUGAUUAGCUAGUUGGUGGGGUAACGGCCCACCAAGGCGACGAUCAGUAGCCGGACUGAGAGGUUGAACGGCCACAUUGGGACUGAGACACGGCCCAGACUCCUACGGGAGGCAGCAGUGGGGAUAUUGCACAAUGGGGGGAAACCCUGAUGCAGCAACGCCGCGUGAAGGAAGAAGGUCUUCGGAUUGUAAACUUCUGUUUUAGUGAAGAACAAAUGACGGUAGCUAAAGAGGAAGCCAGGCUAACUACGUG
rnacentral:rRNA from 1 species